rnacentral:lncRNA from 1 species
AUUAUUAGAUUAUGUUUCUAUAGUAUUAGAAGAACUUCCUUUAUAGGAUUCUCUAAUAUUUGAUGCAAAAUAUUAUUGAUGGCCAGGUGAAUGCAGUGGACUAUUCAAGAUCGAGGGCACCAACGGCAUAUGCUGAGGGCGUCCAUCAACAACCCGCCCAAUGUCCGGAUUCACCGAGGAGUACAACCGGAGACACUGUCGGCUGCCUGCAGGUCUGGAAACCAGACAACAUCUCUAAAACCAACCAUCCCCUAAUGCAUGAAUCACUUUGCUCAGUUUGGCUACAGCUAAUUGGCAAUCAUUUCAUCCUAUUCCAUAAUGCAAACAUCCUGUUUUUCUCAUCGAGAGAAAGAACAUUAAGAAUUUUUGCACAUUCUGUUGUAGCAAUAGUAUGAAUAGCAUCAGUGUAUUUGGUCAUAUGUUCUUGUGGCUUCCAAAAAAACUGUAAUCUUUGUUCUACUGGUACAACUCUCUUUGGCUAGGACAUUUUGGCUUCAAAUAACAUAAAUGAACCUAAAAUUUCUUAAUAUUUUAUAUCACUUUUUGUAUUGAUGUUCUUCGUGCAUGCUCAUCUGCCAAGAGGUCAAUCCAAUAAUGUCAUGCGUUCCUCAGCAGGCGCCAAGCCCCCCGACACCAAGCCGUCUGUUCUUCUCUCUGCCCGAAGAAGGAUUAUGGUUCUCCACCUCUCUGCUACUCAUAUUAAAAUUCCGGUAUGUUCUUUCUUUCUUUAUUUUCUGUCAACAAAAAGGUGAAACCUGUUCUUAAUUUUCCAUAAUGAUUUUGAUGGCAAUUUGUCAGUGUAUUUCUAGCUGGAAUUGCACGUAUAUCUUACAAAUUUACAUUGCAACAAAUUAAGAAGGAGAAUAGAAGUAUUUGCAGCCAUCUAACAUAUGGUAUUUUUCAAAAAGCUCAAGGUUAGAGAUGUGGCGCUGUAUGAGGCUAUCAUUACGAUGGAAGAUAAAUUAUUGUUAAAAUAUUGUUUGAAUUUCCUUCAUUCUGUAAACGGCAAUACAAGCUAUGUUUGCACCAUGAUUCUAUUCCAAUUUUUUUUAACAACUAGCAAUUAACGACACAUCAAAUGUCCUGUAUUCAAAUGGAUCAUUUUGUCUGGUUGGGUUUAGUAGGUCAUAAUGGUUUUAUUGUACAGCAGGAUUAAUUUUGUUUAUACUGUAACCAGUUCAAGGAUUGAUAAGUUUUCUCCCUAUGAUCUUUGCACACAAAGGUUCGGAUGUGUUCUUUUUGAAAUAUACGUCCGGCAAGUCUCAUGUGUCUUGCAUUGUUUUCGCUUUCCAAGCUACAGGUUUGGAUAUUCUUUGAACAAGAUUCUUUAUAUGUUGUUCGAUUCCUCUUGACCACAAGGGGAAUGCUUACUGUGGCAAUACGCACUUCUAUGCUUACUGAUUGGCAUUUUUAUUAGCAUGGAGAAUAACUUUUAGUUCACUAAGAUUAGUUUAUGUUCACAUUGCUCUAUAUAUAAAAAAAGGAUUGUUGUGCUGAAAAGGUAUAUGACAUUCUGGCAAAACGUUGUUUAGUAAAAAGGUAUGUAGAGGUGAACUUUAGAAGUGAAAUGGUGUGGAUGUUCUGACAGGGAGAUGCUUGGACUAACUUUAGCGUCACACAUGACUUUUUGUUUUCCUCCGAAUGUAUGUUCUACUAAUUGUCAGCGCCUGAAUUUUUGUUUUCCUCCCAAUGUCAUGUGAUAAUUACUGCACUAUAAAUCACAUGCUUGCAAGUCAUUGUUGUGUCGUCUCUCUCUCUCUCUAACCGCACCCUCCCCCUUCCCAUCAUCUUGGCUUGCAGGUUGCUGGCGUGUCUCCCACGAGUCCACGACAUAACGUGUAAUCUAGGUUGUUGGCAAGUUAACUUAGGAUUGGCAACCUAUAGUGUAUUAGUGUGGCAAGCGCAUGGGAAGGUGGGAUUACAUUCUAUACUCUUGAAACUAUGUAGAAUUUUACAUAUACAUUGUUCACUUCAGCAAAAUAGAGAUCCCCUAACUAGCAGAUCAAUGUUGGUUGUGAUCAAACUUUUUUACAUUGUCAUAUUUGUAGAUAUAGUGUGUGAUGGAGUAUCAACUAGCUGCCUUUGGUCGCACUUAGUAUAAAAGUCUCAUAUAUUGCUAGCUCCUUGUAUAUCUAAUUGGAUUGUUUGCUGAACAAUUUCUCUAAUGUACAUCUCUAAAAUUACUAAUAUAUGGAUUUUCUAAACAUGAUGGUGCAUAUCCGAGAAAGAAGAAAUAGGACCAAGGAAAUUAGGUGCUUCUCUACCUCUAUCAUUCACAUUUUAUUGUAUUUUCUAAAGAUGUGUGCCGCUCCUCGCCUGGUGUUAGUUUCUGCAUGCUUCUCUCCAUGGUCCUCUUUAUUUAGUAUGUAGAGUUCAACUAAACCAUAACGAAUGUGGAGGUUUAUUUUAUUUAUGUUUGUUUAUUUUGAUGGUUUAUUGACUGUUAGAAUAUAGUAUGUUGUGUUCAACAUGCUCACAAAAUUGAAUAGAAGCCCUUCUGAUGUCGAAAUCAGAUUAAAUUUAUGGACUAGAUCAUUUAGAUAUUACAGGGGAGAACAACAUUUGUUUUCUGGAUUCAGUUUUGGUUCUUUCUAUAAAAAUAGUCGGAUAGUGGUCUUAAUGAAACAUUGCAUUUAUUUCAUACAAGUCGCUGACAUAAUUUGCAUCUAGCAAAUAAAUUUGUAUCACUAUCUGUUUUAUCAGGUAAAACACCAGCAUGUUGUUUGAGGUGCAUGCAUCGGUUGUAGCGAAGAUGUGCGUAUGACGAUGUAUUGCUGACCAUGGAGCACUCAAGGCUUCAAGAUAUCUACCGCAACUUAGAGGCUUGACACAUUGCCACUUGCUCCUACCACCAUGCAAAUGGUCGAUGCUUUAGUGUUGAACUAUUUCUUUAAUCUAUGUGAUGGUGCAACUUACCAUUAGUACUUGUCAUGUGGAUUUCAAUAGAAAUGAUGUUUUAGGCAUGUUUGAUGGUUAUAAAACAAAUGCCAUAGAUGAUAGCUAUUGCUAUUAUGGAGUUUGGAACUAUUGUUCAACUGAUAUUCAAUGUUUGAUGCUCCUUCAUUAUUUUUAUUAUACAAGAGGGUGAAAGCUCCUAUCAUACAUGUUUGCUCAAAACCUAAUGCUCCUAACUAAUGAGAAUAUUUUAAAAGCACUCAUGAUUUUAAUGGCACAUAUAUUUUAAAAAAAGGCUAUGCAUUUUUUGCUUAAACACAGUCUAAGAAUACAAAUGUUUCAAUGUGAACAUGAUUUCAAUUGGGCCUCUGUGAACAUGGUAGCAUGUAUUUUG